UACGUAGGGUCCGAGCGUUAAUCGGAAUUACUGGGCGUAAAGCGUGCGCAGGCGGUCUCGCAAGUCCGAUGUGAAAUCCCCGAGCUUAACUUGGGAACUGCGUUGGAAACUACGAGGCUAGAGUGCGGCAGAGGGGGGUGGAAUUCCGCGUGUAGCAGUGAAAUGCGUAGAGAUGCGGAGGAACACCGAUGGCGAAGGCAGCCCCCUGGGCCGACACUGACGCUCAGGCACGAAAGCCAGGGGAGCGAACGGG
rnacentral:rRNA from 1 species